rnacentral:rRNA from 1 species
GUGAGGAAUAUUGGUCAAUGGGCGGGAGCCUGAACCAGCCAAGUCGCGUGAAGGAAGAAGGAUCUAUGGUUCGUAAACUUCUUUUGCAGGGGAAUAAAGUGCAGGACGUGUCCUGUUUUGUAUGUACCCUGAGAAUAAGGAUCGGCUAACUCCGUGCCAGCAGCCGCGGUAAUACGGAGGAUCCGAGCGUUAUCCGGAUUUAUUGGGUUUAAAGGGUGCGUAGGUGGUUUGAUAAGUCAGCGGUGAAAGUGUGCAGCUUAACUGUAAAAAUGCAGUUGAAACUGUCGGACUUGAGUGUAAAUGAGGUAGGCGGAAUGCGUGGUGUAGCGGUGAAAUGCAUAGAUAUCACGCAGAACUCCGAUUGCGAAGGCAGCUUACUAAGCUACAACUGACACUGAAGCACGAAAGCGUGGGGAUCAAACAGGAUUAGAUACCCGGGUAGUCC